UACGGAAGGUCCGGGCGUUAUCCGGAUUUAUUGGGUUUAAAGGGAGCGCAGGCGGGCUUCUAAGCGUGUUGUGAAAUGUACCGGCUCAACCGGUGACUUGCAGCGCGAACUGGAUGCCUUGAGUGAGUACGAGGAAGGCGGAAUUCGUGGUGUAGCGGUGAAAUGCUUAGAUAUCACGAAGAACUCCGAUUGCGUAGGCAGCCUUCCAGUCCUUAACUGGCGCUAAAGCUCGAAAGUGCGGGUAUCGAAC
rnacentral:rRNA from 1 species